UUUUUAUAUUUGAUUUUUAUGGUUUAGAUCUGUGUUUGUGGAAAGUUGUUUUCGUUUGGAUCCUUUAUAUUCAUUAUUGAUUAUGUAUUUAGAUCUGUUGAGAACAUUCAUUUUUAUAUAUGUUUACGUACUGAUUUGCUGUUUUUGGAAUAUGGAGGAGUCAGUAGAUUUUGCAGAGGAGACAUAAGAUUUGGCGGAGAAGCCUGACGUCAGAGGAGGUGUGAUGGCUACGUCAGAGCGCUGUGGUGAAGGAGAUGGAGGCGACGACAGGAGGAAGACGACCAUGGAAGUCGGAAGGAGCGGCGUUGUGGUGAAGGAGAUGGAGACGACGACAGGAGGAAUACAUACGACCUUGAAAGGAGGAACGAGCGGUGGCUUAGGUUUAGGUUUCGGUUUAAUGUGUUUCAAUUAGUUUGUUGGUUUAAUUAAUUAUGGUUUAGUGUUGUAAAAAUAAAAUUUAAUUGUAAAGUGAAUUUAAUUAAUAAAUAAAAUUUCAUUUUUAAUUAUACUGAUAUUAUUUGCAAACUGAUUUUAAUUAAUAAACAAAUUGCUAUAUAUUAUAAAAAAAUUAAGAGUUUUAAUAAAAUUUGAUUUACAUAAUUAUAAAUAUUAACAAUUGCAUACAAAUUAACGCUAUUGUUAUUUAUCUAAUUAUAGCAUACAGAAAAACCACUAUUAAAAGUGUCGAACCUAUUAUAACGGGCGCUGUUAGAACGGAUAAGGAAGCGUUAUUAUACAGAAUGCAUAGCGUUUUUCGUCCGCUAUUACUGCUCAUGUUUCCUGCAGUGAAAUAUACGAAAUACAUUAUCAUUACCCAAAAAGCUACAAAAAUAAACAAAUUUAUCUUUACCGACAUGUGCAAUGUUAAAUUCAAAUUUCUUAUAGUAAAGAAGAAAAAAAUGAAGACACAUGACCCAUAUUAGAAAAAAUCCCGUAGAGAUUCCCCCGCAAGUAAUCUUUUUAAUAGCUCGGUUGAACUUUUGUGAGUGAUUUAAUUCAUUGUUUUUUUUUUCAAGAAAAUGCCACGAGGGACGAGAUCACAAAUGAGAAUAGUGUACUAUGAGAUACGAGUAUCUCUCCGGUGGCGUGGUAGAAGGUCCACGCAAGUCCAGCAUCUGUGCCUCCAGGUCUCCAAGCCGCAUCAGAUCUGCAGAUUAGCGCAUCAGGGUGGAUCUGGGUAAUUUGGUACAGGACUCCACUACUUGGGCCUCUUGCCAUUCCCUAGCACUGGUGAUCACCUUGAGGAUGGUUUCUUGUGGGGAGAAUGAGCGAUUUUGGAAGAUUUUAUGGUUCCUUGAGAUCCAAAUAUUCCAAAUUAUCCAGGCCGCAAGAUGGGUGGGAGCGGAGUCGCCAAGAGUGAGAGUUGGAGGCCCAUAUCAAUAGAUGUAAAGUCUGUUGACAAAAGGUUUGAGGAUAUGGGUAGAGAGCUCCAGAUUUGAACUGCAAAGGGGCAGUGGAAGAAGAGAUGGAGAAUGGAUUCAUCCUGAUCACAAAAAGGUGGGGGAGGAGCAUUUCGAUCUUCCCAGCAUCCCAGUCUCUUCCAUUAGGGAGAAGUAACCAUGCCACUGUGAGAAAUAGAGAGUCUAGCGGAGGAGGGCCGAUAGGUGCUUCCCAGGUAGUAGUUGAGAGCCAAGGUUCUGUCCAGAUGCCAACAUCCUCACCAUUACCUAUCGCCCAACCAACAUGGUGUUUAAUGAGGUCUCGACCAAUUAAGAUGCCCCUCCAGCCGUGGGAGCAGCUCGAUGGAGGUGUGACAUGAAGAAACUCCUGGUAUAAAACUAGUAGGACAUAAACGAGUCUUUGUACAAAAUAAUAAUGAAAACGGUGAAAUUUUAAGAUACAAAACAUGUUUAAUUUCACAAGGGUUUUCACAAUAUGAAUUUAUUAGACAUACUUUCCAGUUGUGGGUACAAUUACUUUUAGUUUCUUAUUAAUCUGACAAUAAUAAAAGACUUUGUUUACAUUUAA